rnacentral:rRNA from 1 species
CGUGUCGUGAGAUGUUGGGUUAAGUCCCGCAACGAGCGCAACCCUUGACCUUAGUUGCCAGCAUUCAGUUGGGCACUCUAAGGUGACUGCCGGUGACAAACCGGAGGAAGGUGGGGAUGACGUCAAAUCAUCAUGCCCCUUAUGACCUGGGCCACACACGUGCUACAAUGGACGGUACAAAGGGCUGCGAAACCGCGAGGUGGAGCCAAUCCCAGAAAACCGUUCUCAGUUCGGAUUGCAGGCUGCAACUCGCCUGCAUGAAGCCGGAAUCGCUAGUAAUCGCGGAUCAGCAUGCCGCGGUGAAUACGUUCCCGGGCCUUGUACACACCGCCCGUCACACCACGAGAGUUUGUAACACCCGAAGUCGGUGAGGUAACCGCAAGGAGCCAGCCGCCGAAGGUGGGACAGAUGAUUGGGGU